rnacentral:rRNA from 1 species
GCCCAGUGACUUUCUUAAACGGCCGCGGUAUCCUAACCGUGCAAAGGUAGCAUAAUCACUUGUCCUCUAAAUAGGGACUAGUAUGAACGGUCAAAUGAGGACUUAACUGUCUCUUACAUUCAACCAAUAAAACUGAUCUCUCAGUUAAAAAGCUGGGAUAUAAACAUAAGACGAGAAGACCCUGUGGAGCUUCAAACCAAAUCCAACCCUAAUGGAGUUACGUUUUUAGUUGGGGCGACUUCGGAGUACAAAAAAACCUCCGACAAAACCAUAUCAAGACCAACACGUCAACAUAUUUUCCCACUGACCCGGUAUUUACCAGAAUAUCCGAUCAAUGAACCAAGUUACCCCAGGGAUAACAGCGCCAUCCCCUUCUAGAGUCCCUAUCGACAAGGGGGUUUACGACCUCGAUGUUGGAUCAGGACACCCAAAUAGUGCAGCCGCUAUUAAAGGUUCGUUUGUUCAACGAUUAACAGUCCUACGUGAUCUGAGU